CAGGAACACAUGUUGUACUCACAGAAUCUGUUUGUUUUGAUGUUGUUUAACAUAAGUGUAUAUUAUUAUCAGAUAAUUAUCAAUACUAUAAACUGAACAUAAAUUUUUUUAUAGAUUAUAUGGGUAAGUACAUCAUAAGUUAAGGGCAACAUAAUAUUCGCGGUUCUUAUAUAGCAACAACUGUGGCUUUAUUUUAGUACGAUUUACAAAAUAAUAAAAUACAACGCCAAG
rnacentral:lncRNA from 1 species